rnacentral:rRNA from 1 species
CCUACGGGAGGCAGCAGUGAGGAAUAUUGGUCAAUGGGCGCGAGCCUGAACCAGCCAAGUAGCGUGAAGGAUGACGGCCCUACGUGUUGUAAACUUCUUUUAUAAAGGAAUAAAGUGAGGCACGUGUGCCUGUAUGUAUGUACUUUAUGAAUAAGGAUCGGCUAACUCCGUGCCAGCAGCCGCGGUAAUACGGCGGAUGCGAGCGUUAUCCGGAUUUAUUGGGUUUAAAGGGAGCGUAGAUGGGUUGUUAUGUCAGGUGUGAAAGGUUGCGGCUCAACCGUAAAACUGCAAUUGAUACUGGCAGUCUUGAGUACAGAUGAGGUAGGCGGAAUGCGUGGUGUAGCGGUGAAAUGCUUAGAUAUCACGAAGAACUCCGAUUGCGAAGGCAGCUUACUAAACUGCCACUGACACUGAGGCUCGAAAGUGUGGGUAUCAAACAGGAUUAGAUACCCGGGUAGUC